rnacentral:rRNA from 1 species
UGGGGAAUAUUGCGCAAUGGGGGGAACCCUGACGCAGCCAUGCCGCGUGAAUGAAGAAGGCCUUCGGGUUGUAAAGUUCUUUCGGUAUUGAGGAAGGUUGAUGUGUUAAUAGCACAUCAAAUUGACGUUAAAUACAGAAGAAGCACCGGCUAACUCCGUGCCAGCAGCCGCGGUAAUCCGGAGGGUGCGAGCGUUAAUCGGAAUAACUGGGCGUAAAGGGCACGCAGGCGGUUAUUUAAGUGAGGUGUGAAAGCCCUGGGCUUAACCUAGGAAUUGCAUUUCAGACUGGGUAACUAGAGUACUUUAGGGAGGGGUAGAAUUCCACGUGUAGCGGUGAAAUGCGUAGAGAUGUGGAGGAAUACCGAAGGCGAAGGCAGCCCCUUGGGAAUGUACUGACGCUCAUGUGCGAAAGCGUGGGGAGCAAACAGGAUUAGAUACCCUGGUAGUCCACGCUGUAAACGCUGUCGAUUUGGGGAUUGGGCUUAGAGCUUGGUGCCCGUAGCUAACGUGAUAAAUCGACCGCCUGGGGAGUACGGCCGCAAGGUUA